rnacentral:rRNA from 1 species
AACAGGGAUUGCCCCAGUAACGGCGAGUGAAGCGGCAACAGCUCAAAUUUGAAAUCUGGCGCAAGCCCGAGUUGUAAUUUGUAGAGGAUGCUUCUAGGUAGCGACCGGUCUAAGUUCCUUGGAACAGGACGUCAUAGAGGGUGAGAAUCCCGUAUGUGACCGGCCCGCACCUUCUACGUAGCUCCUUCGACGAGUCGAGUUGUUUGGGAAUGCAGCUCUAAAUGGGAGGUAAAUUUCUUCUAAAGCUAAAUACCGGCCAGAGACCGAUAGCGCACAAGUAGAGUGAUCGAAAGAUGAAAAGCACUUUGGAAAGAGAGUUAAAAAGCACGUGAAAUUGUUGAAAGGGAAGCGCUCACAACCAGACUUCUGGGCGGUGUUCCGCCGGUCUUCUGACCGGUCUACUCGCCGUCCCGAGGCCAACAUCAUCUGGGACCGCUGGAUAAGACCUCAGGAAUGUAGCUUCCCUCGGGAAGUGUUAUAGCCUGUGGUGAUGCAGCGCGUCUCGGGUGAGGUCCGCGCUUCGGCAAGGAUGUUGGCGUAAUGGUUGUCAGCGGCCCGUCUUGAAACACGGACCAAGGAGUCUAACAUCUAUGCGAGUGUUCGGGUGUCAAACCCCUACGCGUAAUGAAAGUGAACGGAGGUGGGAAGCGUGAGCUGCACCAUCGACCGAUCCUGAUGUCCUCGGAUGGAUUUGAGUAAGAGCAUAGCUGUUGGGACCCGAAAGAUGGUGAACUAUGCCUGAAUAGGGUGAAGCCAGAGGAAACUCUGGUGGAGGCUCGCAGCGGUUCUGACGUGCAAAUCGAUCGUCAAAUUUGGGUAUAGGGGCGAAAGACUAAUCGAACCAU